rnacentral:rRNA from 1 species
GUCUAUGUCCAUGCCACCCUGAACAAGCCCAAUCCUGUCUGAUCUCGGAAGCUAAGCAGGGUCGGGCCUGGUUAGUACUUGGAUGGGAGACCACCUGGGAAGACCAAGUGCUGUAGGUG